rnacentral:rRNA from 1 species
GCUUGUCUAAAGAUUAAGCCAUGCAUGUCUCAGUAUAAGUUCCUGUACGGCGAAACUGCGAAUGGCUCAUUAAAACAGUUACAGUUUAAUUGAUGGUCGUUCCUUACAUGGAUAACUGUGGUAAUUCUAGAGCUAAUACAUGCAUCCAUACCCAACUUCAUGGAAGGGUUGUGUUUAUUAGAUACAGAACCAACCCAGGCUCGCCUGGUUUUGUGGUGAUUCAUGAUAACUGAAUGAAUCGUAUGGCAUCCGCUGACGAUAAAUCUUUCAAGUUUCUGACCUAUCAGCUU